rnacentral:rRNA from 1 species
CCUACGGGAGGCAGCAGUCGGGAAUAUUGCGCAAUGGAGGAAACUCUGACGCAGUGACGCCGCGUAUAGGAAGAAGUUUUUCGGAAUGUAAACUAUUGUCGUUAGGGAAGAGAAAGGACAGUACCUAAGGAGGAAGCUCCGGCUAACUACGUGCCAGCAGCCGCGGUAAUACGUAGGGAGCGAGCGUUAUCCGGAAUUAUUGGGUGUAAAGGGUGCGUAGGUGGUUUCUUAAGUCAGAGGUGAAAGGCUACGGCUCAACCGUAGUAAGCCUUUGAAACUGGGGAACUGGAGUGCAGGAGAGGAGG